rnacentral:rRNA from 1 species
ACCGACGAUCAGUAGCCGACCUGAGAGGGCGACCGGCCACAUUGGGACUGAGACACGGCCCAAACUCCUACGGGAGGCAGCAGUGGGGAAUAUUGCACAAUGGGGGGAACCCUGAUGCAGCAACGCCGCGUGAAGGAAGACGGUUUUCGGAUUGUAAACUUCUAUCAGCAGGGAAGAGAAUGACGGUACCUGACUAAGAAGCCCCGGCUAACUAC